UACAGGGGGGGCAAGCGUUGUUCGGAAUUACUGGGCGUAAAGGGCUCGUAGGCGGCCAACUAAGUCCGACGUGAAAUCCCAAAGCUUAACUUUGGAACUGCGUCCGAUACUGGUUGGCUUGAGUUUGGGAGAGGGAUGCGGAAUUCCAGGUGUAGCGGUGAAAUGCGUAGAUAUCUGGAGGAACACCGGUGGCGAAGGCGGCAUCCUGGACCAAUACUGACGCUGAGGAGCGAAAGCCAGGGGAGCAAACGGG
rnacentral:rRNA from 1 species